rnacentral:rRNA from 1 species
CGUUGUCCGGAAUUAUUGGGCGUAAAGAGUGCGUAGGUGGUUACCUAAGCGCAAGGCUUAAUACAGUGGCUCAACUACUGUCUGCCUUGCGAACUGGGCUACUUGAGUGCAGGAGGGGAAAGCGGAAUUCCUAGUGUAGCGGUGAAAUGCGUAGAUAUUAGGAGGAACACCGGCGGCGAAGGCGGCUUUCUGGACUGUAACUGACACUGAGGCACGAAAGCGUGGGGAGCAAACAGGAUUAGAUACCCUGGUAGUCCACGCCGUAAACGAUGAGCACUAGGUGUUGGGGUCGAAUGAUCUCAGUGCCGCAGUUAACGCAAUAAGCGCUCCGCCUGGGGAGUACGCUCGCAAGAGUAAAACUCAAAGGAAUUGACGGGGACCCGCACAAGCAGCGGAGCAUGUGGUUUAAUUCGAAGCAACGCGAAGAACCUUACCAGGACUUGACAUCCUACUGACAGGAUCUUAACCGAUCCCUUCUUCGGACAGUAGAGACAGGUGGUGCAUGGUUGUCGUCAGCUCGUGUCGUGAGAUGUUGGGUUAAGUCCCGCAACGAGCGCAACCCUUGUCGUCAGUUACUAACAUUCAGUUGAGGACUCUGACGAGACUGCCGAG